rnacentral:tRNA from 1 species
GCCCGCGUCGGCUAGUUGGACAGGCCUAGCGCCUCCUAAGCGCUGAACCGGGGUUCAAAUCCCCGCGCGGGCG